AUACGUAGGUGGCGAGCGUUGUUCGGAAUUACUGGGUGUAAAGGGAGCGUAGGCGGGUACGCAAGUUGAAUGUGAAAACUAACGGCUCAACCGAUAGUUGCGUUCAAAACUGCGGAUCUUGAGUGAAGUAGAGGCAGGCGGAAUUCCUAGUGUAGCGGUAAAAUGCGUAGAUAUUAGGAGGAACACCGGUGGCGAAGGCGGCCUGCUGGGCUUUAACUGACGCUGAGGCUCGAAAGUGUGGGGAGC
rnacentral:rRNA from 1 species